AACGAACGCUGGCGGCAUGCCUAACACAUGCAAGUCGAACGAGACCUUCGGGUCUAGUGGCGCACGGGUGCGUAACGCGUGGGAAUCUGCCCUUGGGUUCGGAAUAACAGUUGGAAACGACUGCUAAUACCGGAUGAUGACGUAAGUCCAAAGAUUUAUCGCCCAAGGAUGAGCCCGCGUAGGAUUAGCUAGUUGGUGAGGUAAAGGCCCACCAAGGCGACGAUCCUUAGCUGGUCUGAGAGGAUGAUCAGCCACACUGGGACUGAGACACGGCCCAGACUCCUACGGGAGGCAGCAGUGGGGAAUAUUGGACAAUGGGCGAAAGCCUGAUCCAGCAAUGCCGCGUGAGUGAUGAAGGCCUUAGGGUUGUAAAGCUCUUUUACCCGGGAUGAUAAUGACAGUACCGGGAGAAUAAGCUCCGGCUAACUCCGUG
rnacentral:rRNA from 1 species